UUAUGGUGCGAAGUGCGAACCUUCUGAUCAAAUAUAACGGAAAAGUGAACCUCCAAAUCCCAAAUACGGCCUCCGGAGAACUGAAGCUUCCUUUGAACUCUCUCUGCACACAUCGGAGCAUAAACGUUUUAUGUUUCGUUUACUCGUCUCUCUGACUAUGGCAUCUCCCCUCCUCUCUCUUCGCUCCUCCAAUUGAUCCUUUCCCUUUCUCUGCUCCCCUAACCUCAGAAGCGAAGCGUCUCUCCAGCUCUCUUCAUACUUCAGCGGACCAUUGCCGCUGCCGCCGAGUAAGGUCUCUAACCUCCGUUUUAGAUAACUCUUCUAGUUUUGUCGUCUUCACUCAAAUCUAGGGUUUGUGUACUGUGUCUCUCUCACUCUGACAUCUCCUCUCCUUCGUGCUCUCUGUUAUCUCUUCAACUGAAUAAUCCUCCUCUCCGAUCCUCUUCUCCUCUUACCUCAGGAGCGAAAGACGGAAAUACUUUCAGUUUUGGAGAACUUUAGUGUCCUUCGAACACUCUUUACAAACUUCAGUGCACCAUCGCCGUGUCCACGGAGCAAUCGAAAGUGUUUCCGCCGCCUCCAACUUCUGUGUCAGAAAUCUCGUUUCGGAUGUAUCCAGAACAGCCAAUUUCACUCUCGAGCCAGAGCCUUGCAGAACGAAGCUAUUACCGGUUUUCACUGCUUGAAGACUCCCAAGGCCUUCGUUUCGUCCACGAAGACAUGGAAAGCCGGAAAAGUGUUGCAAUUAAAGAAGGUGAUUUUCUUUCUAAUAAAGCUCACAUGUUUGCUCAUUCUCUGCACAUCGACUUUCAAAAGAGUGAAGUUAAUCUUUGGACUGGUAUUUCUCUUAUUAAUUCUGACUCUGUUUGCCCUUAGGAUGAUAGCAACCCUGCCAUCUUUCAGAAAAUAAGUAUCCUUUUACUUUUCGUGCCGUUGGAGAAACUUGAUCAAGUACGUCAGAUUAAUAUGGCUGUAUUUUGGUUGCACAUGAAGUAAUUAUAUUAUCCCGUUAAUUCUAAUUCACUUAUUCCAUGUAUAUCUAACACACCUAAUCAUUAUAUGCUGUUCCAUUUGUAAGUAGCUUAUAUUCUGGUGCCUAUACUUUGAAUGCCUUGGAAUUUUGUCAGCUUUGGAAGUAUCUUUUCUAUAUACUUUUUCUUUAAUAUCUCACAUGUAAAAGUGAGGUUCGUUGAUAUCCUUGUUCUUUUUCAUUUUUAUAUACUGAUUUAAUGUUGAUUUUUACUUCACAACCAGGGCAAGUGUUUUUUUACCCAAUUAAGUUUCCCAUCCAUCUACAAAGCAUGUUCCUCAUAUAUUCCCCAUUUAAAUUUGGCCGAGAUAUUUGGUUUGGUUUAUUUACAGUUGCCAAGGCAUUCUGGAUUCCUUCCCAACCUUUCCACACUUGCUCUUCAUCAUUCUGAGUUAUAAACCAAAAAAAUUUGAAAUUCCGGAUUUUAUGUAUUUUAUUUCCCGUCUUAAAAUGAAGGUAGAGAAAGAUGAGGGAAUAAAUUAAGACAGGUAAAUCUUUCGAUUUUCAAAUAACUUAUGCUUCAUAUAUUUUGUAUUAGCCCUAGCUAUCUCAAAAUCUUUUGAGUUCAAAGCUUGUCUCCAUGUUUUCUAUUUGAGAGUCUCUUGAUAUGUUCUCAUCCAUUAAGACAACCAAUAACAUGUGUCAAGGGACUGCGUCUUAAAUAGAUGCUCUUUGCAUUUCGCCUAUGUUUUUUAGAAUUUAUUACCUCCCUCCUUUUAAAGAAUUUUUUAACCACUUAUAAGCCAAAAUACUUCAUCUUGAGUUCAUGCAUUCUAUGAUCGAAGUACUCUCUUGCCGAUGCAAAUAUCUUUUGCUAGAUUACAAUUUAUAAGUUUCUUACAUUCUCAAAUGCAAUUUGUAACUAACUUAAUGCAAAAGAUGACUUAAACUUCUAACCACGCCUAUUGAAGGUCGUCAGUAAGGUAAUGGGCAUUUCAGACUAAUGUCACUGUUGCAGGGAAAUUGUUAUGAUGAACUGAUGUCUGAAGUAUCAGACCAUCUGCGAUAUGACAAGGUAAGACUAAUACUUUUCAGUUUUCACUAUUCUUUGGGGGAUUGCUUGAAAAAAUGACCAUGGAAUAAGGCUAUUUAAUUUAAUUAUUAUGGCUAUUUAAAAAGUUCAUUGCAUUCAUCGGAAGUAAAUGCAUAUUCUAGUUGGACUGCAUGUUAGAGAAGUGAUGAAUGUUCAAGAAUUGGCCAUCUUUAUGAGGUUGAUUUACGUAACUAACCGAGUCACCAUGUACCAUAUGUUUUCUCAUUUCUGGAACUUUGCCCACACCAGCGAUCUGUCUUUUUGGAUUUUUUUUUUGGAGUUGCAUCUGUGCAGUGGCAUGAAUAUAAUACAUGUACCUAUUAUUAUAAUGUCUAAUUGUUGACUCAAUCUUUGAGUUGCUAGUAGGAUUUGGGGAGUAAGUAACUACGGUAAGUUCUGUUCUGCUUAUAUCAUGCUUGAUGUAUGGCCACGUUUGUCCCGUACUCUUGUUCAUUGUUAAUGUUGUGUUAUUAUUAGUAUAUUUGGUAAUGUUGCCAUACGAACGUCCUGUGUCAAGGUAACCUUUAUUUAUAUGGUCAACGAACUUUGUAAUGGAAUGACAAGCCUGGUUACAUACGCUAUGAAACUUUGUUGAUAAAUUUUAGUCAUGCCCCUAAGUUUAUUAAAAAUAUUCCAAUUUAAGUUGAUCAUCCCUUAUAAAAUUAAGUUGACAUGGUGUAUUUAGUAAAUAUUGGGGUGGUUAAGGUUUACCAUCUCUUUGCUGU